rnacentral:lncRNA from 1 species
CAUUGUUAAACAUUGGUUAAACACUUUGGCUGGUUAAACACGUUGGAUAGGCUCAAUUUAAACAAGCGAAAAAAAAACAUCUUGGAUCCCGUAUUUAACACAUGAAACGGAAACAUGCAUUGAUUGAUUGAUUGAUUGAUUGAUUGGUUGGUUGGUUGGUUGGUUGGUUAAACAUGUUGGUUAAACACGUUGGUUAAACACGUUGGCUGGUUAAACACGUUAGAUAGGCUCAAUUUAAACGAGCGAAAAAAAAACAUCUUGGAUCCCGUAUUUAACACAUGAAACGGAAACAUGCAUUGAUUGAUUGAUUGGUUGGUUGGUUGGUUGGUUGGUUGGUUGGUUAAACACGUUGGUUAAACAUGUUGGUUAAACACGUUGGUUAAACACAUUGAUUGGUUAAACACGUUAGAUAGGCUCAAUUAAAACAAGCGAAAAAAAAAGAGACCUUGAAUCCCGUAUUAAACACAUGAAACGGAAACAUUGAUUGAUUGAUUGAUUGAUUGAUUGAUUGAUUGGUUGGUUGGUUGGUUGGUUGGUUGGUGUUGGUUGUUGUGGUUGGUUGAUUGGUUGGUUGGUUGGUUGGUUGGUUGGUUGGUUGGUUGAAAUUCAAACACACAUAAAACUGUUUAAAUAGUGCCAAAACCACAUAAUUUGAUGACCUUGACCUUUGACCUUGUGACCUUCGUCAAGGUCAUUGCUCCACAAGGUCAUUGCAAAAGACCCUAUGGGUCAAGGACCUUUGUUUAAGAGUUUUGCCUAAAUAUGGCUUUUUAAAAACCAUCGAUGGGAGUUAUGUCCCUUACAUGAUGGUAAAAUCAAUAUAGUCAUAAUGUAAAAAAGUUGCCCCUUGAAGUACUUAACAUUUUUCACUGCUUAAAUUUUCUGUAUCUAUAACCAUUCAAGAAUUAUAGGGAAAUCAAAGACAUAUGAAAAUCUAAAAUAUGACCUUGACCUUUGACCUUGACCUAAUUUUCUAAGUUAGGAAUCAGGGGACUCAAAUAAAAACAUUCCAGGGUUAUACGGUUAACGGUUUAUGAGUUAAAAAAACAUACCGACAAAUUUAUUCCGUAAAGAUAGAUAACUCCUAUAAAAUUUCAUCGAAUCGCUUCGAUCCAAAUUAGCCAAAAUUUUCUGAGGAUGUAACGAACAAUUUGUAAAAAGAAUUUUGUCGCUAUCUUUUUUUGUUACGAAGGAGAUGCACACACAUGAUAAACAGUGAAUAGGGAGAUAACUCUUACAGAGAAAAUUGUUCGUCUUAGCAGGGUGAAAUUUAAAAGCGCAUAAACUAUACGAUACAAUAUGAGAAAUAUCUAAGCGACAUAUUGCGAAACAAACAUUUAUCGCAAGAACAAAAGUUGGCGGAAAAAAAAAAUAAAUAAAAUAAUAAUAAUAAUAAAAACAAUUGUUCAGAGAACAAUUGAAGUCUUUCCAUAAUUUUGAUAUGAAAUGGAAAUAAGUUUAAAAUUCAUUUCAAUGAUGAUACCUGAUUCCAAAAAUAUAUUGCAUUUUUUUUAAAUAAGGAGAUAAUUUGUUACUUCCGGUUUGAAAAAUUUACUUCGAUAUAUUUGAAUAUUACUUGACACUGUUUCAAAAAAUCUGGUUCUAUAUACUUUUAUAUUAAUAAAGUACAAAAAAUAGCUACUUCCGGUUUACAAAAGGUCACUUCCGGUUUUUUUUCAAGGUUAAAUGGUUUGAUACCUUUUCUAAAAUUGUAUAUCUUUAUCAUGUAUACAUAUAGAAUAAAAGCAAAGGUCAAAAUCUAGAACGUCAAAUUAAGCUAUGACCUUGAGAUCAAUUUCAAGGUCAUAAACCAAGGACCUCAAAUCAAAAGACCAUAGGUCUUAAUUAUAUUUAGUUAAUGAGUUAUAUCACCAAACGCGUAUUUUUAAAUACAAGAGGGGAGAAAACUCCCUUUUACAUUCAACGUACGCUUGCAAUCAAAAUUUACAUCUUACGACAUGUCGCAACUAACAAUUUAGUAAAAAAUAAUUUGUUGAUAUCUUUAUACAGUCUUUGGAAUAUAAGUUAAAAUAAGCCAAAUUCAAAAAUUAGAAUAUGACCUUGACCUUUGACCUUGACCUAAUUUUCAUUUUUUGGACCAAGGACCUCAAAUCAAAAGAUCCUAGGUCUCUAUCACUUAUGGUUUAUAAGAUAGAAAUUCAUAUCACUUAUAUCAGAUGCAUAAGGGGAAAUAACUCUCAUAUGGAGCGGUUCAUUAUCGCUUCGGUCAAAAUAGGACAAAUCAUGCGAAGGAUAUAACGAGCAAUUUUGUAAAAUAAAUUUGUCAUAAUCUUUUACGGUUGCGAAGGAGAUGCGCUAACAAGGAAAACAGUGUUUCGGGGAGAUAACUCCUACAAAGAAAAGUAUUUGUUUACGCAGGGUAAAUUUCAAAAGCGCAUAAACUGUUCGAUAUCAUAUACAAAAUAUCUAAGCGACAUAUUGCGAAACAAAUGUUUAUCGCAAGAACAAAAUUAGGCGAAAAAAAAAAAAAAAAAAAAAAAAAUAAUCAGAAAAAAACAAUAGGUCUUUCCACAGAAAAGUGGAAAGACCUAAUAAAAACCAAUUGUUCAGAGAACAUUGAAGGUCUUUCCAUCAAAACAAUGUAUUUUGAUAUAAAAGUUGUGAAACUAAGUUUUUAAAAUGUCAUUUCAAUCGUUCAAAUGAUAGCUCUAGUAAGCUGAUUCCAAAAAUAUAUUGUUUCCAUACAUUUUUUUUUAAAUAAGGGAGAUAAUUUGUUACUUCCGGUUUGAAAAAUGUUACUUCCGAUUAUAUUUGAAUAUUUACUUGACACUGAUUCCAAAAAGAUCUGGUUCUAUAUACUUUUAUAUUAAUAAAGUACAAAAAAAUAGCUAUUUCCGGUUUUCAAAAGGUCACUUCCGGUUGUUUUUUACAAGGUUAAAUGGUUGAUACCUUUUUCUAAAAGUUGUAUAUCUUUAUCAUGUAUACAUAUAGAAUAAAAGCAAAGGUCAAAAUCUAGAACGUCAAAUUAAGCUAUGACCUUGAGAUCAAUUUCAAGGUCAUAAACCAAGGACCUCAAAUCAAAAGACCAUAGGUCUUUAUAUUUUAGUUAAUGAGUUAUAUCACCAAACGCGUUUUUUAAAUACAAGAGGGGAGAAAACUCCCUUUUACAUUCAACGUACGCUUGCAAUCAAAAUUUACAUCUUACGACAUGUCGCAACUAACAAUUUAGUAAAAAUAAUUUGUUGAUAUCUUAUACAGUCUUUGGAUAUAAGUGAAAAUAAGCCAAAUUCAAAUAUUAGAAUAUGACCUUGACCUUUGACCUUGACCUAAUUUUCAUUUUUUGGGACCAAGGACUCAAAUCAAAAGAUCCUAGGUCUCUAUCACUUAUGCUUUAUAAGAUAGAAAUUAAUAUCACUUACAUCAGAUGCAUAAGGGAAAUAACUCUCAUAUGGAGGGUCAUAUCGCUUCGGUCAAAAUAGGACAAAUCAUGCGAAGGAUAUAACGAGCAAUUUUGUAAAACAAAUUUGCCAUAAUCUUUUACGGUUGCGAAGGAGAUGCGCUAACAAGGAAAACAGUGUUUGGGGAGAUAACUCCUACAAAGAAAAAGUGUUCGUCUUACGCAGGGUGAAAUUUCAAAAGCGCAUAAACUAUACGAUAUCAUAUAGAAAUAUCUAAGCGACAUAUUGCGAAACAAAUGUUUAUCGCAAGAACAAAAUUAGGCGGAGAAAAAAAAAAAAAAAAAAAAUAAUAAUAAUCAGAACAAAAACAAUAAGUCUUUCCACAGAAAAGUGGAAAGACUUAAUAAAAAUAUAAAGCAAUUGUUUCAAAAACAAUUGUUAGGCAGUCUUUCCCCUAUGAUGAAUGGAUAAUUGAUUUUUUUUAUUGAUUGAUUUGGAAAAAAGGGGGGGGGUAUUUGUUUAUUUGUUUGUUUGUUUGCUUUGGUAUGGGGUCUAUAUUAUUAUGUUACCGGAGAAGUUUCAUGUUUAGUUUGGAAAGUUUUUCUUUUAUUUUAGAUACAGCGCGCGCGCAAGAUUGAGGAGACAUCACGUGACGCGGGUUUAUAUUAAGAAAACUUAGUCUUUUUAUUUCUUUUUAGGUCGGGACUUUGAACAGACAACAUCUAUAGAGAUGGAAUGUACACAAUGUAAUUUCUUUUGUCAUUGUAGGAAAUUGACAUUUUGAUCACAGUUCACCAGCAGUGCAUGUUUUGGAUUUAAUCGAUCCGGUGUAACUUUAAAACACAUUUAAUGAUUAUUUUUGAUAAUGUCCAUUUUUCAGCACCUGUUUGUAACACAGAUUAGUAUUUCAAUCUCGGAGCGGACAUUUUAUUGUAGGUUUUUACUGAGAUUUACGGACCUAGCAAGCGAUUUUUACGGCAUUGCCAUUCUUUUUUCUAGGAAAAGUCUUGAGAGAUAUCUGCAAAAAGUUUUUUUUAUGAACCUUCAGUACAUGUAUGCCCUGCUGACUGCAAAUUUUCAGGUCGAUUGGACUUGUAGUUUCAGAGAAUAUGUGGAUUUUUUUUCAGAAGAGACGUAAGAACAAUAAUAAAAUAAAAAUUUUCUUGAAUAAUUGAGAGUUUGUUCCUUCAAUAUACUGUCAUAAAUAAACAGUCAUACAUAUUGAUUGAUUGAUUAGUUGGUUGAUGAUUGAUUGAUUGGUUGGUUGGUUGGUUUGUUGUUGGUUGGUUGAUUAAACACGUUUGAUAGGGUCACUUAGAACAAGGGAAAAAAAACUCAAGAGACCUUGCAUCCCGUAUUAAACGCAUGACACGGAAACAUACAUUAAGUGAUUGAUUGGUUGGUUGGUUGGUUGGUUGGUUGGUUAAACACAUUGGUUAAACAUGUUGGUUUAACACGUUGGUUAAACACGUUGGCUGGUUAAACACGUUUGAUGGGCUCAAUUUAAACAAGCGAAAAAAAAACAUCUUGGAUCCCGUAUUUAACACAUGAAACGGAAACAUGCAUUGAUUUAUUUAUUGGUUGGUUGGUUGGUUGGUUGGUUAAACACGUUGGUUAAACAUGUCGGUUAAACACGUAGUU